rnacentral:rRNA from 1 species
UGCGCAGGCGGACUAUUAAGUCAGUGGUGAAAUCUCUCGGCUCAACCGAGAAACUGCCAUUGAAACUGAUAGCCUUGAGUGUAGUUGUAGUAGGCGGAAUAUAGCAUGUAGCGGUGAAAUGCUUAGAUAUGCUAUAGAACACCGAUCGCGAAGGCAGCUUACUAAACUAUCACUGACGCUCAUGCACGAAGCGUGGGGAGCAAACAGGAUUAAAUACCCUGGUAGUCC